rnacentral:rRNA from 1 species
UACGAAGGGGGCAAGCGUUGUUCGGAAUUACUGGGCGUAAAGGGCGCGUAGGCGGUGCGUUAAGUUAGGCGUGAAAGCCCUGGGCUCAACCCGGGAACUGCGCUUGAUACUGGCGCGCUUGAAUCCAGGAGAGGUUGGUGGAAUUCCCAGUGUAGAGGUGAAAUUCGUAGAGAUUGGGAAGAACACCGGUGGCGAAGGCGGCCAACUGGACGU